AGGGUCCCUUGUCUCUGAGCGGGAGGCAGGGUCUGCCCCCCACGCUGUGGGCCGUGCUGGGCGCCUGGAGCCCAUGCAGGGGGGUAUGUGGGCCAGGCCGCAGCUCUGGGAGGGGCCAGGUUCACACCAGCCCUGCCCCCCACCGGAGGUGCAGGCGCGCCCACACAGCAUCCUGCCCUGAACUUUGUCCCACCGGUGGCGUCGGGGGUAAAGUGCCGAUUCUGAAGGGUGUAAUGGUGCGCGAGGGACCUAAUGGGGUUUGCCAUCAGGCUCCUUGGACUCGCGUCAACAGUGGUGACCACAGGCUCAGCCCCGCCUGCCCAGCCGGGACAACACUGACGGACCCAAGUCGGGGCCCACUGUGCCCCUCCCGCCUGUGGAGCGUCUUAGGCACAGGCACCCAGACAGCUGCUGAGAGACUCUGAGAGGUG
rnacentral:lncRNA from 1 species